GAUGAACGCUGGCGGCGUGCCUAAUACAUGCAAGUCGAGCGAACAGACGAGGAGCUUGCUCCUCUGACGUUAGCGGCGGACGGGUGAGUAACACGUGGAUAACCUACCUAUAAGACUGGGAUAACUUCGGGAAACCGGAGCUAAUACCGGAUAAUAUAUUGAACCGCAUGGUUCAAUAGUGAAAGACGGUUUUGCUGUCACUUAUAGAUGGAUCCGCGCCGCAUUAGCUAGUUGGUAAGGUAACGGCUUACCAAGGCAACGAUGCGUAGCCGACCUGAGAGGGUGAUCGGCCACACUGGAACUGAGACACGGUCCAGACUCCUACGGGAGGCAGCAGUAGGGAAUCGUCCGCAAUGGGCGAAAGCCUGACGGAGCAACGCCGCGUGAGUGAUGAAGGUCUUCGGAUCGUAAAACUCUGUUAUUAGGGAAGAACAAAUGUGUAAGUAACUAUGCACGUCUUGACGGUACCUAAUCAGAAGGCCACGGCUAACUACG
rnacentral:rRNA from 1 species